rnacentral:rRNA from 1 species
ACUACGGGAGGCUGCAGUGAGGAAUAUUGGUCAAUGGGCGGAAGCCUGAACCAGCCAAGUCGCGUGAGGGAAUAAGGCCCUACGGGUCGUAAACCUCUUUUGCCGGGGAGCAAGGGCGGGGACGUGUCCCGGCCCGGAGAGUACCCGGAGAAAAAGCAUCGGCUAACUCCGUGCCAGCAGCCGCGGUAAUACGGGGGAUGCGGGCGGUAUACGGAUUUAAUGGGUUUAAAGGGUGCGUAGGCGGGCUUUUACGUCAGCGGUAAAAAUUCGGGGCUCAACCCCGUCCGGCCGUUGAAACUGGGGGCGUUGAGUGGGCGAGAAGAAGGCGGGAUGCGUGGUGUAGCGGUGAAAUGCAGAGAUAUCACGCAGAACCCCGAUUGCGAAGGCAGCCUUCCGGCGCCCUACUGACGCUGAGGCACGAAAGUGCGGGGAUCGAACAGGAUUAGAUACCCGGGUAGUC